rnacentral:pre_miRNA from 1 species
UCACCAAUCAUGUGGGGAUCUUAAUAAAAGUCAGAGUCUGAUUCCAGAGGUCUAGGGUAGGAUCUGAGAUUCUGAAUUUCUCAUAAGCUCCCAGAUGAUGUUGAU